rnacentral:rRNA from 1 species
GACGAACGCUGGCGGCGUGCUUAACACAUGCAAGUCGAACGGAAAGGCCCUGCUUUUGUGGGGUGCUCGAGUGGCGAACGGGUGAGUAACACGUGAGUAACCUGCCCUUGACUUUGGGAUAACUUCAGGAAACUGGGGCUAAUACCGGAUAGGAGCUCCUGCUGCAUGGUGGGGGUUGGAAAGUUUCGGCGGUUGGGGAUGGACUCGCGGCUUAUCAGCUUGUUGGUGGGGUAGUGGCUUACCAAGGCUUUGACGGGUAGCCGGCCUGAGAGGGUGACCGGCCACAUUGGGACUGGGAUACGGCCCAGACUCCUUCGGGAGGCAGGAGUGGGGAAUAUUGCACAAUGGGCGGAAGCCUGAUGCAGCAACGCCGCGUGCGGGAUGACGGCCUUCGGGUUGUAAACCGCUUUCGCCUGUGACGAAGCGUGAGUGACGGUAAUGGGUAAAGAAGCACCGGCUAACUACGU